UUCAUAAGGAAUCAUAAUUCUAUCAGUCUCUUAUUUAAGUGUACCCCAACAUUGUUAUAUUUGUAAAAUUCUUAGUGGUUUCAUGGCACCAAGUCCUUGUGGUAGGCUGUUAUGCAUGAAUCCUGCAAGGAGGCAGGAAAA